UGUUUUUUUUUGUUUCCAAGGAGGCACGGCCAUGCCUCACGCGGAAGCAAAACUGUGCCUCUCGCGAAAGAAAAAAAUAUUUUUUUUUCGUUUCCGAGAGGCACGGGCGUGCCUGUCACGAAAGCACAACCGUGUCUCUCGCGAAAGCAAACCCGUGCCUCUCACGGAAGUGAAAAAACAGAAAACGCAUUUAUUUUCGUUUUCCGAGAGGCACAACCAUAACUCUCGCGAAAAUACAACCGUGCCUCUCGCGGAAGGAAAAAAAAUAGAAAACACGUCUUUUUCGUUUCUGAGGGGCACGGCCGUGAUUCUCGCGAAAGCAAAACCGUGUCUCUCGUGAAAGAAAAUAAAAGAAAACACGUUUUUUCGAGCAUUUUUUUUCAAUUUUUUAUCCAAAAUCUAAGGAAGACCGAUGAAAAGCCGAAGCGUAAAAAAAAAACCCGUUUAAAAAGCCGAAAACACAUGCGAAAAAAAAAACAAAAUACGAAGGGAGAGCCUAGAGCGCGACACCUGUGGGGCGGCUGAGAACGCACCAGGUGGCGCUGAUCGUUACGAGGCUCCCGAAGGAGCGCUCGUCAACUAGUUGUUCAACCUUUCCAUCGGAUUGGAACGCUCGUAUUCCUGCAGAUCGAACGGAUAAAAAAAUCCAGCGAUUCCAUAGCGAUGCGUUUCCUAUGGGUUUUCCUUUGAUUUCCCUACGUACCGAACAUGGCCUGAUUCUGUUCCACCGCCUGGGCAAAAUAGAGAAAUAAAUAUACGUUGGCCAUUCAGCUGAAGAAUAUGAGUCUCUGCAAGGCAAAGUUAGCGUCACGAAAGGAAUAGAAGCAACAUUUCCUGGGUGUGUCACCUGAGUUAUUCCUUUCUUCCCUCGGAACGACGAAGGUUAGCACCGGUUCUUGCGUUCCGGACGGGCAGUAGGUCUGGAUCAUAUAUAAGAGACAACAAUGUCGCCAUGCAUCCCAUUCCUGCACUCACAACAUAAACACCAUCCUCACGGACCCAUUCGAUCCAAGGGGCGGCUGCUAGCUAGCUGCAAUCUUCAGCACAACUGCAAGGUAUGCAUGCAUGGUGUUCCCUGAAACAUUUCAGCAGAAAUCGUAGGCAGACAUUGACAGACAUCAUGUAGUUCGAGCAGAUACAGGAUGCAAGGAAUCGCCAAGGCGCUGAGCCAGCACGGGAAGCAGCUGAGGCUCGCCGUGCUGCAGCACAUGAACAAGGGGAUCUUCUCCUGGGCCACCCUCAUCUCGCGCAUACAGAGCGAGUCCCCGGCCGUGAUCAUCCCCCACAUGGGGCUGGAGAACAUCACCGUCCGGGAAAUCCUCAGGGCCAAAGGGGAGGCCCAGUCCAGGGCGGUCUACUGGUGCAGCACCACCCAUUUGGUGCAUGAAGCCGUCAAGCACGUGAGAGUUUUGCUGACUGCUUUCAUCUUACUUCUGAAUACAAUGCUACUUCUGAAUGACUGAAUGUCGAUCGUGCUUAAUUCAAUCUGUAGAUGACGGCCAAUAAUGUGGGAUCUCUAGUCGUGCUCAAGUCGGGGGACGACAAGCAGCUGGCAGGGAUUGUAACUGAAAGAGGUAAACCACAAAUCAGCAGCCAAUUCAAAGGAUUCUUAGAAAGAAAGAAGAAAAAAUCAGUUACAAUUUAUCCCCAUCUGAUACAGAUUUCGCUAGGAAGAUCCUCUUACCCGGGCGACCCUCGGAGGAAACAAGAGUUGAAGAUAUCAUGACAGAAGAGGUGAAUGGGCUUAAAAAUGAAAAUCACUGCAACAGACUGAAUAUCAUUGCACAUUUCUUUAGUCCUCAUAAUUUUCUUUACUCUGUUACAGAACAAGCUAAUCACUGUAUCCAGCAAUACCAAUAUUCUGCGUGCGAUGGAGCUAAUGACAGGUAAUGGAACAUUCAAUCGGUAAAGCAUUUCACUAUUUACGGUCCUAUCAUACGCGCACGCUACAAGGAACUGUAGCAAUUUUGGAAUUUUUUAAAUUACUAAUUUGGUUUUGUUUUCUUAUUUUUCUGGAUCAACAGACGAGCACAUUCGACACGUCCCAGUUUUCGACGAGAAGGUGGUUGGUAUGAUCUCCAUUGGCGAUGUGGUCAGAGCAAUCGUGGACCAACAGCACCAAGAAGUGAAACAACUGAAGAAGUACAUCACUGGAGAUUAUUAUUAGCAUGUAGCUCUGGUACAGUCCAUGUAAUUACUCAUAAUAUUAACCAUGAAUUAUAUCUUCCCCGGUAUUGCCAUUUGGAGUGAGUAACUACUGUCUUUACACUUGCACUUUUACAACACUGAGCUUUGUGUUUUCUCUUGGGCUGUGAAAUGUGUUUUUUUAUAAAAGUUUACAGCCAUAUCAUAAAAAGAGUCAAAUCUGUACAUGGUACAAAAUUCCUACCUGAGCAAUUUCAACCCUCGGUUUCAUCCAGGGAAAACAAGUCACGACUAUCUAAAACAAGUCAACGAUUUUGUAUAUCAGUGAUGAAGGAAAACCCUAGGGAGAAUUCUUUGUUUCCAAAGGGAAAUACAUGCAUAAUAGUUGAGAUAAAUCUUAUGGUACAAGAAAAAAAAAUCAAUGAUUUUGUUGGCAAUUUUGUAUCUCAGUGAUGAAAGAAACCAGGAAAAUUCUUCAUUUUCAGAUGGAAAUACAUAUAUAGUAGCUCAGAUAAAACUUAUGGUACAAUAAAACAGGGUACCCACAAGACAGCAUUAGCACACAACAACAUAGCAGCUUAUUGCAGGUUAAUACCUCCAUAACAACUCAGAAUCUGUAUAACAUACAUUGCCUCAAACUCUCUUAAUAGGUAAUAAGGGGUCAUGAACCUCGCCGCAGAUAGUUUCGCUCACUCCUUAGUACAACUUCGCUGUUACUGCUUGCGAUCACUCCUUAGUACAGCUUACUGUUUGCUAGAAACACACCGCCAUUUCGCACAUGUAAGUGCACAGCUAUCUCAUUUUGCAGGAGAACAUCACACAGCUAUUGCUAAAUCUCAGGGACAUGUUGAUAAAGUAACACCAGGAGUAACCCAUCUGAAGGAGGGUACAACUCUGUGCCGCAAAUACCUAAGGCGCAGGGUAGUACUGGUUAAGAGAUCUACUAAUUGCCCUGAUGGUGUUUGGAGUUGUCCUGCAGCAACCCCCAAUAAGGGCAGCCCCAUCUUUG
rnacentral:lncRNA from 1 species